rnacentral:rRNA from 1 species
UAACACAUGCAAGUCGAGCGGUAACAGAUCUAGCUUGCUAGAUGCUGACGAGCGGCGGACGGGUGAGUAACGCGUAGGAAUCUACCCAGUAGCGGGGGAUAAGCCAGAGAAAUUUGGUCUAAUACCGCAUACGCCCUUCGGGGGAAAGCAGGGGCUCUUCGGACCUUGCACUAUUGGAUGAGCCUGCGUGAGAUUAGCUAGUUGGUGAGGUAAUGGCUCACCAAGGCGACGAUCUCUAGCUGGUCUGAGAGGAUGAUCAGCCACACUGGGACUGAGACACGGCCCAGACUCCUACGGGAGGCAGCAGUGGGGAAUAUUGCACAAUGGGCGCAAGCCUGAUGCAGCCAUGCCGCGUGUGUGAAGAAGGCCCUAGGGUUGUAAAGCACUUUCAGUCGUGAGGAAAGGUGUGUGCUUAAUACGUACAUACUGUGACGUUAGCGACAGAAGAAGGACCGGCUAACUCCGUGCCAGCAGCCGCGGUAAUACGGAGGGUCCGAGCGUUAAUCGGAAUUACUGGGCGUAAAGCGCGCGUAGGUGGAUUGGUCAGUCAGAUGUGAAAGCCCAGGGCUCAACCUUGGAACUGCAUCUGAUACUGCUAGUCUAGAAUACAGUAGAGGGUAGUGGAAUUUCCUGUGUAGCGGUGAAAUGCGUAGAUAUAGGAAGGAACACCAGUGGCGAAGGCGACUACCUGGACUGAUAUUGACACUGAGGUGCGAAAGCGUGGGGAGCAAACAGGAUUAGAUACCCUGGUAGUCCACGCCGUAAACGAUGUCUACUAGCCGUUGGAGGACUUGAUCUUUUAGUGGCGAAGCUAACGCGAUAAGUAGACCGCCUGGGGAGUACGGCCGCAAGGUUAAAACUCAAAUGAAUUGACGGGGGCCCGCACAAGCGGUGGAGCAUGUGGUUUAAUUCGACGCAACGCGAAGAACCUUACCAACUCUUGACAUCCAGAGAAGAGGCUAGAGAUAGCUUUGUGCCUUUCGGGAGCUCUGAGACAGGUGCUGCAUGGCUGUCGUCAGCUCGUGUUGUGAAAUGUUGGGUUAAGUCCCGUAACGAGCGCAACCCUUGUCCUUAUUUGCCAGCACGUAAUGGUGGGAACUCUAAGGAGACUGCCGGUGACAAACCGGAGGAAGGUGGGGACGACGUCAAGUCAUCAUGGCCCUUACGAGUUGGGCUACACACGUGCUACAAUGGCCGGUACAGAGGGCUGCAAACCUGCGAAGGUAAGCUAAUCUCACAAAACCGGUCGUAGUCCGGAUUGGAGUCUGCAACUCGACUCCAUGAAGUCGGAAUCGCUAGUAAUCGUGGAUCAGAAUGCCACGGUGAAUACGUUCCCGGGCCUUGUACACACCGCCCGUCACACCAUGGGAGUGGAUUGCACCAGAAGUAGCUAGCUUAACCUUCGGGAGGGCGGUUACCACGGUGUGGUUCAUGACUGGGGUG